rnacentral:tRNA from 2 species
AGCUCUGAGGUGUUAUCAUAUUAGAUUGCAAAUCUAAAGUAGCAGGUUGACUCUUGCCGGGGCUU